rnacentral:rRNA from 1 species
GGAGGGAUCCUUGCGGGUGUGAUCAUACCGGAUUCCAUCAGAGCUCCUUAGUUAAGCGCGCUCGGGCUAGAGUAGUACCGGGAUGGGUGACCUCCCGAGAAGUCCUAGUGUUGGACCGUCG